rnacentral:rRNA from 1 species
AUGAUGACGAUGACAUGGAGAAUGCGGAAGAGGACACCGAUGAUGAUGAACAUGCUGAAGUUUUUUGCAGGUGCUAACAAGGGGAAGGAUGCACCAUAUGUCCCCCCACCGGAGAAAGUCAAAGAACAUACAGCUGCGAGAGGCGAGGGGGUGUUGCCAUCAAAGAGGGGGAGGGAUCCAGAGGAUGUUGGGCAGGGUUCUCCUGGCAAGAGGGUGAAGAAGACUUCUACACGCGGGGCCAAGCAUAUCAGUAGGGACCCACUCGAACGCCUUCAUUCAAAGUUGUCAAUAGGGGGCAACUCAGAUGUUCAUGAGGCCCCAGGCGACAAAACUGUUGUUGCAUCGUCAACUGUUCCCACUAACUCUGACGCAAGUGGUCGACCGUCUCCGCCUGCUGCAAAUGUGCAGGCUAGAACAACGGGCAUCCGUACAUCGGGGAGUGACGAGUCGGUAUCUGUCAGGACCGCUGAAAUAUUGCACACUCUGCUGGCAAUGAAGGAUGUUGCUGUUAGCCACGCCACCCCAUCAGGAAGUGUUGAAGUGGAUGCCCCCGAGACCAACCUAAGCAAGGAAGAUUCCCGCUCAUCUGACACUGAUUCCAAGCGCGUGCGUGGCGGCACUCCUGUGCCCAAGAUAGAAGUUGCUGAGGCAGCAGUUCAUAAUGAUAUGUCAUCUGCAGAAGAGCAGAGUACAACUGAUGCAGAUGCCAAGCCGGGCACGAGUGAUGAAGGUGAACGUCCGGAGCAGACUGCGCCUUUACCCAUAGUGGAAAUCCCCAGCUUAAAUCUAUGCACUUCCAAACUCCCAAUCAACAUCGGUGUCUCCUAUAGCCCCAACAAGAGGAUUGUCAACAAAUCUACGCCCGUCACCACUGACAGCACGCCCCGCCCUAUUGGCAAGCCUGAUGAUUCUGUAGCGGCUGAUCUAGAAGAUAUGUUUGUUGAUCUUUCACCGUUGGAUUCUGCCCCGCAAGUUGUUCGCGGUCCGGCCAGUAGGCAUGAGAGGCACCCAAUGGCCUUCACCCCACCGAGCUUCAUCCUUGGCAUCAGUCAAGAUCAACCAGUGGCUCAAGAUCCUAUGCCAGUUGCCUUUGCUUUUCCUGGAGGCAUGCCCGCAAUGAUGGUGCAGCCAAUGGUUGAGGACAGGAAGGCUGUCAAGUUCGCAGAGCCGAUCGUCCAAGGCACCCCUGAGGAGAUUUCACCGUCACUUGAUGAAGCUUACCGCAGGAUUGAGGAGGCAGCAUUGCAGAGGAGGUCCUCACGAGGGAAGGGGCAAUCAAGUUCCAACGUGUCUGCAAAUACGGUAUCUGAGGAUACCAUUAGGAGUGCCACCCCUGGUUCUGUGAGGCAGCAGAGGAUAGUUCACCCACCUCCCGCGGAAGACUACAAGCCCGAAUUCAGGGCCACAAAGGAACAGACCCAGCUGUACGAUAUUGUCAAGCGGUUUGAAAAUGUGAGGGCCAGCAGCAAGCACAUGAAGGAGCUGAAAGCGUAA